rnacentral:tRNA from 1 species
AGCAGCAUGGCCUAGUGGAAAGAGCAUGGACUUCGAACUCAGAGGACCUAGGUUCUAAUCCUAGCUCUGCCA